GACAGAGGUUGCAAACGUUGUUCGGAAUUACUGGGCAUAAAGCGCACGUAGGUGGUCCGCUAAGUCGCGUGUGAAAUGCCCCGGCUCAACCGGGGAAUUGCGCGCGAUACUGGCGGGCUUGAGGGCGGGAGGGGUGAGUGGAACUCCUGGUGGAGCGGUGAAAUGCGUAGAUAUCAGGAGGAACACCGGUGGCGAAAGCGACUCACUGGCCCGAAUCUGACACUGAGGUGCGCAAGCUAGGGUAGCAAACGGG
rnacentral:rRNA from 1 species